rnacentral:rRNA from 1 species
UGUGUGUUAGUGGAACGGUCUGGAAAGUCCGACGGUACAGGGUGAUAGUCCCGUACACCAAAAUGCACAGGCUGUGAACUCGAAGAGUAGGGCGGGACACGUGGUAUCCUGUCUGAAUAUGGGGGGACCAUCCUCCAAGGCUAAAUACUCCUGACUGACCGAUAGUGAACCAGUACCGUGAGGGAAAGGCGAAAAGAACCCCGGCGAGGGGAGUGAAAAAGAACCUGAAACCGUGUACGUACAAGCAGUGGGAGCACCUUCGGGUGUGACUGCGUACCUUUUGUAUAAUGGGUCAGCGACUUAUAUUCUGUAGCAAGGUUAACCGUAUAGGGGAGCCGCAGGGAAACCGAGUCUUAACUGGGCGUUAAGUUGCAGGGUAUAGACCCGAAACCCGGUGAUCUAGCCAUGGGCAGGUUGAAGGUUGGGUAACACUAACUGGAGGACCGAACCGACUAAUGUUGAAAAAUUAGCGGAUGACUUGUGGCUGGGGGUGAAAGGCCAAUCAAACCGGGAGAUAGCUGGUUCUCCCCGAAAGCUAUUU